rnacentral:piRNA from 1 species
UCAAUGUAAAGAACGUGUCUGUCAAAG